AAGCAACCAUUUAUUAUUAUAUUUAAAGUAUUAUGAUGGAGAAAAUAACCAAGAGGUCAGCUUACAAGCCCAUACACAGCGGAAGACCUUAAAGCGUACAAAAGUUUGGAGGCCUAUAACCAGAUGGUGUGUGGAUGGGUGAGGGAGAUUCAAUACCAAGUCAUCGAUGACAGAUGUGUUGCGAAGGCCAAAGUUCUCCAUUCUCAAUCAAUCCGAGAAACACCCCUGGAACCCUGGAUAAUCGCUGAGAAGUCUGGUCGGAUACUUGGAGCCCACUGCACGUGUAUGGCUGGCCUCGGAGAGACGUGCACACAUGUUGCUGCAUUAUUGUUUCUCAUAGAAGAAACAGUGAAGUUGAGGACUCAAAGACAGUGACGCAAGAGAAGGCGUAUUGGCUGUUACCUACUGCACUGUCUAAGGUGGAAUACAGGGAAUGCCGGAAGAUUGACUUCACUGUAACCAAGAGGUCUCAAGUAAAAAGAGCUGGCAGGAUGAAAUGUGCUGCUCUUGGACAGCCACUUGAGGACCCAAGUGAUACUUCCACUUCUUCUACUGUUACAGUUGGGAAACCGCAACAGCCAAC
ensembl:lncRNA